rnacentral:rRNA from 1 species
GAUGAACGCUGGCGGCGUGCUUAACACAUGCAAGUCGAACGAAGCACCUUGACUGAGACCUUGGUGGAUUUUGAGGUGACUGAGUGGCGGACGGGUGAGUAACGCGUGGGUAACCUGCCUCAUACAGGGGGAUAACAGUUAGAAAUGGCUGCUAAUACCGCAUAAGCGCACGGUACUGCAUGGUACAGUGUGAAAAAACUCCGGUGGUAUGAGAUGGACCCGCGUUGAUAGCUA